UACGGGGGGAGCAAGCGUUGUUCGGAUUUACUGGGCGUAAAGGGCGCGUAGGCGGCCAGCACAAGUCAGUUGUGAAAUCUCCGAGCUUAACUCGGAAAGGUCAACUGAUACUGUGCGGCUAGAGUGCGGAAGGGGCAACUGGAAUUCUUGGUGUAGCGGUGAAAUGCGUAGAUAUCGGGAGGAACACCAAUGGCGAAGGCAGCUCGCUGGGACGUUACUGACGCUGAGACGCGAAAGCGUGGGGAGCAAACAGG
rnacentral:rRNA from 1 species